rnacentral:tRNA from 1 species
GGGAAGAUAGCUCAGCCCGGUAGAGCUUCGCGUUGAAGCCGCGAGAAUGCGGGGGUUCAAAUCCCUCUCUUCCCA